rnacentral:rRNA from 1 species
GAUCCUGGCUCAGGAUGAACGCUGGCGGCGUGCUUAACACAUGCAAGUCGAGCGAAGCGCUUAAGUUUGAUUCUUCGGAUGAAGACUUUUGUGACUGAGCGGCGGACGGGUGAAGGUAACGCGUGGGUAACCUGCCUCAUACAGGGGGAUAACAGUUAGAAAUGACUGCUAAUACCGCAUAAGACCACGGUACCGCAUGGUGCAGUGGUAAAAACUCCGGUGGUAUGAGAUGGACCCGCGU